AACACAAAGAGAUUUGAUCGAGUUCACGGCCUCUAACCGCUACGUCUCGGGGGAGAACUCUUGCUCCCAAGCUUCACUAUUAGAAAGAGAUUACACACACCACAAACUUGUGAUGUUUUCUUUUGGUUUUCAGGUACACUCACACAAGAAGAACUUUGGAUCAAAAACGCAACAAAGAAGACAAAGACAGACUUUUUCAGAAAACUCUCUUUUCUCACGUUUUCUAGAACUCUCUACCGUCUUCUCACAUAUUCUUCCGAGAUAUAUAAGAAUAUAUAAUGGGCCACUUUUGCUCUUCUUUCUCUUCUUGUAAAUGUUAUUUUCGUCAGGCCCAAAUAGGCCCAUUUGGUGUGUGUUGGUCAAACCCAACAACAAUCUCCACCUUUUGACAACCACACCCAAACCUCGACGAUAUCGACAUACCAAACGCUCAACCCAUCUCUUUCUCUCUUCCGUGAAGCUGGAUGCCACCGGAUCGACGCAUCCUCCGGCAGUUUCCUCCGGCGAUUGCUCCUCCUUCUCCGGCGAGCUCUCGCCUCACCACCGGCCAUCAAAUUUGGCGAAUCACAGCAUCCUCUUCGCCUCUCAUCUUCACCUCCAUUCGUGAAAUCAGUUGCAGAUCCGACAGCUUCAAUGGCUAACUCAGGCGAAAUUCACCAUACUCUUCACCAAUUUCACGAUUGCUCUCUCUUUUGGUGAAUCAAGAGGCAUUAGAUCCAUCUCUCAUCCAUGCCUCUUCUCGGUGUUCUCUAUUUUUGCCACGCCGAUGCCGGUCAGCCCAGAUUUUCCGGCAAGCUUCACAUCCUCCUUGGCAAGCCUUACCAUUCACUGCAACUGUCGACAACCUCAGUUGAAUCACCUCAUAUGAUUAUCACUGGCUUCUUAGAGAACUCCACCUGAACCUGAAAUAUACCUUUCAACCCAAAUUCAGAAACCUUUAGAUACUCCACCUGGAACUAGUGAUUCCUACACCGUUCCAGUACUUAACAGGUAACACCAACUCCAAUUUAAAGCUUUACUCAAUUCUGACACUUGAGUACUUCUCACAAAACUGAAUCAUCUUGUUUCAACCUGUUUUGCGAGACUGUUGGAGUUACCUGUAGCCGCAGCUCCACCUCAGUGGAUGUUGAGAAGCUCGCAGCAAAGCUGGAACUUCUGGCCAGGAUCAAUGUUUGGAGGCAGCUCAAAAUCUCCAGCUAUGCCCACUUGAGUGUCUCUUCCAGCUGCUGCAGCUUCCUCUUCUGUAGUAGGUGGGUCUCUUAGCAGCUGCUCAUCAUUCAAGAUACUUUUCAGCCCUAGAACACCAAAGUGAGCCAGCAUCCUCACUUUCCACAACGAGAAGUCACCUGAUCCAUCAAACCGGUCCACUUCAACCCGAGCAUCACUCGUCUUAAACGAUUGCUUGCGGAAUAAACAACACAAAGAGAUUUGAUCACCGAGUUCACGGCCUCUAACCGCUACGUCUCGGGGGAGAACUCUUGCUCCCAAGCUUCACUAUUAGAAAGAGAUUACACACACCACAAACUUGUGAUGUUUUCUUUUGGUUUUCAGGUACACUCACACAAGAAGAACU